GUAAGGUUUGCUGGAGGUAUCAGAAGUGCGAAUGCUGACAUGAGUAACGAUAAAGGGAGUGAAAAACUCCCUCGCCGGAAGACCAAGGGUUCCUGUCCAACGUUAAUCGGGGCAGGGUAAGUCGACCCCUAAGGCGAGGCUGAAAAGCGUAGUCGAUGGGAAACGGGUUAAUAUUCCCGUACUGCUUAUAACUGCGAUGGGGGGACGGAGAAGGCUAGGUGGGCCUCGCGACGGUUGUCGAGGUUCAAGUGCGUAGGC
rnacentral:rRNA from 1 species